rnacentral:rRNA from 1 species
GGGCCCGCACAAGCGGAGGAACAUGUGGUUUAAUUCGAUGAUACGCGAGGAACCUUACCUGGGCUUAAAUGGGGAGUGACGUUAUCAGAGAUGGUAAUUUCUUCGGACACUCUUCAAGGUGCUGCAUGGUUGUCGUCAGCUCGUGCCGUGAGGUGUCGGGUUAAGUCCCAUAACGAGCGCAACCCUUACUGUUAGUUGCCAUCGGGUAAAGCCGGGGACUCUAGCGGGACUGCCACCGUAAGGUGAGAGGAAGGUGGGGAUGACGUCAAAUCAGCACGGCCCUUAUGUCCAGGGCUACACACGUGUUACAAUGGCCGGUACAGAGGGCAGCUACACUGCGAAGUGAUGCGAAUCCCGAAAGCCGGUCUCAGUUCGGAUCGAAGUCUGCAACCCGACUUCGUGAAGUUGGAUUCGCUAGUAAUCGCGCAUCAGCCAUGGCGCGGUGAAUACGUUCCCGGGCCUU